CUAACAGAAAAGGACUAACAGAAACUCUUCAGAGGUUAUUGUAUCUGUUCCUGUGGCCUUAGUCCGGAGAAGGCAAUGGCACCCCACUCCAGUACUCUUGCCUGGAGAAUCGAAUGGAUGAAGGAGCCUGGAUGCGUGAGCAGGAGGAAUAACUCGGUCACGAGGAAACCCCUUAGAGGAGGACAGCCCCCUUGUUCUUACAGGAUGAGCCAGCCAGGACCACUCGGCCGGAAGCAGUUUCGAUGGCACCCACACGUGCCCCUGAGGGGGGAGGGCGAUGAGGAGGUGCUUCAGGGACCUCAGGUUGGAAGACACGGGUGCACCCCGUGCACUCACGGGCUGACGCUCUCCUUUCAGCACAAGACUGGGCGCUGAUGACGGGCAGCGUGGGCGUGCUCGCUCUCCCGUGGGUCCGGUCUGGAAUCUGAUUCAUCUUCAACGACCGUGUCCUUCUAACGCCUUCUCUCUUCAUUUUCCCUUGUUUGGCACAUCUGAUUUGUGCUUUUCCCAGUUCCUUUUCCAGAGAGUCUAUCUCGCUCUGGAGCGCGGAGCUGGGUAUGCUCUGCUUUUCAUAUGGCCACUUGGUACAUCAGAUGACUGUGACUCAAGGCUGGCGUUUUUAAAGACGAGUCUAGAUAUUUACGCGCUUAAAAGAACACUAAGUUCGUUCGUUUGUACCCUCAAUGAACGCAGCAAGUGCAUGGCAAGCUUGUCGCCGCCCCCGCCCCCCCCCCCCCCCCCUUGUUUUGUCCAACUAGAAACUUCUGAUCAAAAUCAAGAGAACCGAAGACUUCCGGCUGCCCCUGCACAGCGCCCCCUGGUGGCCGCUCGGAGCACAGGCUCUGCUCUCAGGCCUUCAGGCCGCCCUGCCGGGCGGGCCAACGCCCUCAGAGCCCGCCUCCCACCCUCCUCCUGCUCUUUGCUGACGGUCUUCUCCCCGCCCUCCGUGGUCACGGCUGCAUCGGCCACGGAGCGUUCCAGCUGCGCCCCCAGCAUCACGGAGCUCACCGGAGGGCCUGGUGAGGACGUGACGGCCGGCUGGCCACUGAGCUGGACCCGGGCAGUGGGAGGAUUUUCACUCCCUUCCUCCGUCCUUAGAAGGUCUGUCUGUCCAUUGUUCUUGUAUGAGAAGGCUCUUCAAGGGCUUUUCAAAUCAACUGUGAAAUUAUAAUCAAUUCAGCUUGUCAAGUAUUUUGAGUUGUGUUCAUCUGUUGGAUCACUUGACAUUACUUCAUUUGCCUUUUUUUUUUUUUUCCCGUGACAUAUAACCCACAGAUCAUGAGAAUAAUUGUAACAGUUAUACAGCAUGCACCCAAGUGAUGCAGGUCAAGAGGUUGAACUGGCCGUGCUCAGGAAGCUGCCUCUACAGCACGUGACCCCCCAGGCCCAGCCCUGCCUCUCCUGUCCCCGAAGGGAACAGCUCCUGUGAUUUGGGCAGAGCGUCUUUGCUUGUCUCUAUUGUUUUACCCCUUCCAGCUUAUUCCAGCUUUCUUUAGGCUGAUUCUGAGAUUUAUGUAAAUAAAAUAAUGUUGAAAUGUA